rnacentral:ncRNA from 2 species
CAUCUUCACCAGGGGGGUCCCGACAAGGGGCUGAGAUUCCGCUGGCCGUUCACGGCAGCGCGGUGACCCUACGAACCUGAUCCAGUUCACACUGGCGUAGGGACGGUGCGAAUGCCCGGGC